AACGAACGCUGGCGGCAUGCCUAACACAUGCAAGUCGAACGAAGCCUUCGGGCUUAGUGGCGCACGGGUGCGUAACGCGUGGGAAUCUGCCCUUGGGUUCGGAAUAACAGUUAGAAAUGACUGCUAAUACCGGAUGAUGUCUUCGGACCAAAGAUUUAUCGCCCAAGGAUGAGCCCGCGUAGGAUUAGGUAGUUGGUGGGGUAAUGGCCCACCAAGCCGACGAUCCUUGGCUGGUCUGAGAGGAUGAUCAGCCACACUGGGACUGAGACACGGCCCAGACUCCUACGGGGGGCAGCAGUGGGGAAUAUUGGACAAUGGGCGAAAGCCUGAUCCAGCAAUGCCGCGUGAGUGAUGAAGGCCUUAGGGUUGUAAGGCUCUUUUACCAGGGAUGAUAAUGACAGUACCUGGAGAAUAAGCUCCGGCUAACUCCGUGCCAGCCGCCGCAGUAA
rnacentral:rRNA from 1 species